rnacentral:rRNA from 1 species
CCUACGGGAGACAGCAGUGAGGAAUAUUGGUCAAUGGACGGGAGUCUGAACCAGCCAAGUCGCGUGAAGGAUGACUGCCCUAUGGGUUGUAAACUUCUUUUAUAUGGGAAUAAAAUUGUCCACGUGUGGAGUUUUGUGUGUACCAGAUGAAUAAGGAUCGGCUAACUCCGUGCCAGCAGCCGCGGUAAUACGGAUGAUCCGAGCGUUAUCCGGAUUUAUUGGGUUUAAAGGGAGCGUAGGUGGAUUGGUAAGUCAGUUGGGAAAGUUUGGGGCUCAACCGUAAAAUUGCAGUUGAAAAUGGCAGUCUUGAGUACAGUAGAGGUGAGCGGAAUUCGGGGUGUAGCGGUGAAAUGCGUAGAUAUCACGAAGAACUCCGAUUGCGAAGGCAGUUCACUGGAUUGUAACUGACGCUGAGGCUCGAAAGUGUGGGUAUCAAACAGGAUUAGAUACCCGUGUAGUC